AGGACCCUUUACAGGCAUGUUUAGCUCAUUUUGGAGUAGAUGACUUUGAUGUAAAUGGAUAUAUUGAAGAGGUGAAUGUCCUAUUAGAACCACCCAUUUCAAGGACCACUCCCCCAUAGACUAUAAAGUAGCAAUUGCCCAUCCCAUCUAGCACACCACUGGCCCUGUAGUUAGAAGCACCACCUGCAUUGGAACUAAAGCAACUUUCAAUUACGUUAAAGUAUGUAUUCUUAGGAUCCAAUGAUACCCUUCUGAUAAUUAUUGCAGUAGACCUAACCUCUGACCAAGAAGCCCAACUUGUAGGUGUGCUAAAAGAAUGCAAAA
rnacentral:lncRNA from 1 species